AAUCAACGCUGGCGGCGUGCCUCAGACAUGCAAGUCGAACGCGAAAGUUUCCUUCGGGGAACAAGUAGAGUGGCGCACGGGUGAGUAACACGUAGGUAAUCUACCUUCGGAUGGGGAAUAACAAUCGGAAACGGUUGCUAAUACCGCAUAAUGCAGCGGCACCUAAUGGUGACAGUUGUUAAAGCGGGGGAGUCGAAAGACCUCGCGUCUGAAGAGGAGCCUGCGGCGGAUUAGCUAGUUGGUAAGGUAACGGCUUACCAAGGCUACGAUCCGUAGCCGGCCUGAGAGGGCGGUCGGCCACACUGACACUGACAUACGGGUCAGACUCCUACGGGAGGCAGCAGUCGGGAAUUUUGGGUCGAAUGGGGGAAACCCGUGACCCAGCAACGCCGCGUGAAGGAUGAAGUA
rnacentral:rRNA from 1 species